UGUAUUAUGCCUGAUACUGGUAUAUGUACUGGUAUAUAUAAACGCGCCUGUAUUAUGCCUGAUACUGGUAUAUGUACUUCAUGUGCUUUUUUGUUGACAAAUCAGAACGAAAAGGUUGCCGGUAAACUGCACUACAUCUAUCGGCGCUAUGUUGAAAGAUUUCCGGAUGCCGAACCACCCUUGUCGGAGAAGGCUAACAGCUUCCUGAAGGAGCUGCGCAUGACCGUUACGGAUUCUGCUGACGAAGGAAUCAAACUUCCGGCGGAAUUGUGGGCGGAGGUCUUCUCCCACUUGACAACUCUAACGCAGACGGCGUUGCGCGCUGUGUGCGCCACGUGGGACCGGAUCUUGGAUGCGUCAGCCCUGCGUUCCAACAUCUUCAUCCGAUAUGAGACGAGCCCGGAGCGUCGAUUUGGCUGCUUUCUACACCUGGCAGCGGUGUACAAACGCCUGAACCCUGGUACGCAACGCGUUGCCCUGCGCAGCUUCGAAGACGGAUCCUGGACGCUCUCUGACUACGCGAUGAUGGUUUUCGGUAUGAUCCGGUAUGUGGCCGAUCACCAAUCCGGCAUCCGGCUGCGCACCGUGCAUCUACGCCGGGUUCGCUUGGAUUUGAUUUUUGACUGCGGGCUCGACAAAACCCACGCUGCCGAAUGCGGUCUGGCUAUGACCAAGCCCAAGGUGGAAUUCAAGGGUUUCUGGUGGCUGGAGGAUUUCAUGGCCCACUGCCGUCGUCUCCCGUGCGAUACUCUCCACAUAACCGACUGUCUGGUGUCACUGGUCUGGAUACGAGAUUCCCCUACAACAACAACAACAAGUUUCGAGCGAUAACCGAGAUCCACAUUCGCACCGCUCGUUUGCCGCUGGAUGGCGGUUUGGACUGUGCUUUGUGGGACGCACUGGAGGCGGCGCUGCCGAUGCCAGAUGAGGCUGAGGAGCAGGCGCUGCGCGAGUUAUUGCAGCGGCUGAAAGUGGGCGGGGAUUUGAAGGAAGAAAAGACACCGAAAAGCGCCGUCACCAAGGCGCUGUGUCAGGCGCAGUCAUCGGAUCCGCGUCCGUCGACGCACUACCGCGGGAAGAAGUGGUGUGUGGUCGGGCUGGAAGGUGUGCAGCUGGAGAAGUUGUCGCGCAUUGCGCUGAAUUUCCUCGUUCACGUGCAAAAUUAUGGGCUGACUAAGAAAGCAUAGUGUUCUUCGUGACAGCCUUUCCCGUUCUGUUCAACGUAAAUUCUGCCAGUUGACACGGUCCCGCUGUGUCAAGCUGUAAUUCCCGCUUUUCGUGCUGGCUAUAUAGAAUUUGAUAGGUUUGCUGUUUCGGUCGUUCAUUCUUGUUUCAUCACUUUCAUUUACUG